rnacentral:lncRNA from 1 species
CUUCACCUCUUCUCUCUUUCUUUAAUCUUCUCAAUCUCUUCUUCCAACUUCUCCAAUUUCAUAUCAACUCAAUUAUUAUUUUGUUUGAAUUCUUUACGCUUGUCAACUUUUUCAGAAGCUUUCUCAACUAAUUUGUUCAUAUGAAUCAAUUCCUCAACUUCAUUGGCUGAUGUAUAGUUUUAAUAUAUUGAAAAGAUUCCUCGAAAGAUAUUUUUAUCUAAUAACAUUUAUAUUCAAGAUUUUAUAAUAGUAGGUAGAUAGAUUCAACUCGAUUUAUAACGAAUAAUGUACUUGAUCCACUUUCAAACUUAAUUAGUAAACCCAAAAUUAAAAGAAUUGACUAUAACUGGGCACACCACUAAAGAUGACGCCUGAACAUCAACCACACUCCGUGAAAGAUAUGCAAGAAUUUGUGUCCAAGUUCCUCUUGAAGUUUCCAUCAAAACUCAUGUCACAAUUGGAUCCCGCCGUGAAGGUGUGCACAGGCUUUAAGAAGGUAGAGAAGUUGUUUUCAGACAUCAGCACAUAUAAAUCACAAAUAUAAAUGGUCCAAAUAAAAAUAAGACUUUAUAAUAAUACAUUCAUACAAAUAUAAAUAGAAAGGUCCAAUAUAUAUAUAUAUGUGGGGGAAAGGAGGGGGGGUGAGCGCGCGUUUAGAAUAAAGCCAAGAAAUUUGUUUUUAGUUAUCGUAGCAAGGAAGAAUUCUUAAUUAUAGAAGCCCACAAUCAAUUUUAUAUCACAAUGAACUAACCUCUGGAUCUUUCUCCGUUUCCUCUUUGUUAAUAAACUUCUUAACAUAUUAUUCUUCGAAUAAUUCUACUAUAAAGUAACUAAUAUGAAUUUAUUUUAUCAUAUCAUGAUUGUUGGGAAUUAUGAAUUUAGCUAUUCAUAAUCAUAAAUAAAUAUACCUGUUCGGGUAGUUUUGAUAUUUCUGAAGUUUGUUCCUCCAUAGCUUUUUCCAUUGAAAUAUGUCUAUUUAAUUAACUGAGUAAAAUAUUUGUUGUGGAAGGGAGAGAAUGUUUGCUUCAACG